rnacentral:sRNA from 1 species
GCAGACGCGGUACCUCUACUGCGUAGAGGCCGUAGCUGGCGGAAGGAGAGAGGCGGCCGUCCUGUCAACAGGCCUGGGGAAGCCGUGCUUUGGCGGCUGCCCGGCGCGACACUUUCUCCGGACCCAGCAUGUAGGUGCCGGGCGACUGCCAUGAACUCCGGAGCCAUGAGGAUCCACAGUAAAGGACAUUUCCAGGGUGGAAUCCAAGUCAAAAAUGAAAAAAACAGACCAUCUUUGAAAUCUCUGAAAACUGAUAACAGGCCAGAAAAAUCCAAAUGUAAGCCACUUUGGGGAAAGGUAUUUUACCUUGACUUACCUUCUGUCACCAUAUCUGAAAAACUUCAAAAGGACAUUAAGGAUCUGGGAGGGCGAGUUGAAGAAUUUCUCAGCAAAGAUAUCAGUUAUCUUAUUUCAAAUAAGAAGGAAGCUAAAUUUGCACAAACCUUGGGUCGAAUUUCUCCUGUACCAAGUACAGAAUCUGCGUAUACUGCAGAAACCACUUCACCUCAUCCCAGCCAUGAUGGAAGUUCAUUUAAGUCACCAGACACAGUAAGUCUCUUAAAUAUGCUUUGAG